rnacentral:misc_RNA from 1 species
GAUGAAGAACGUAGCGAAAUGCGAUAAGUAAUGCGAAUUGCAGAAUUUCCGUGAGUCAUCGAAUCUUUGAACGCACAUUGCGACCACUGGUAUUCCGGUGGGCAUGCCUGUUCGAGCGUCAUUAUCCUCCCUCAAACCCCGGGUUUGGUGUUGGACCCAAGUUGUGUGAACAACUGGUCUCAAAGACAAUGACGGCGUCCGUGGGACCCUCGGUGCAACGAGCUUUUAGGAGCACGCAUCGAGUUGCAAGGACCUUCCGGGCCGGUCUCCUUUACCAUUUUACAAGGUUGACCUCGGAUCAGGUAGGAAUACCCGCUGAACUUAAGCAUAUCAAUAAGCGGAGGA